UGGAGCUGAGACUUCAGACAGCAGACGGACUUCUGAGGAGGAACAUCAGCACCACACGAGAGUGACUGUAGCUGAAGCAGAAAGAAGCUUUUUAAAACUGAAACUAAUCAAAUCAUACCUGAGAUCCACCAUGUCACAAGAGCACCUCAGCAGCCUCGCUGUCAGAAACAUCAACCAUACAAGUGCUGGUCAGAUUUGCAACGAUGAUGUAAUUGAUGACUUUGCAACAAACAAAGCAAGAAAGGUGGCAGCAGGAUGGGGGCAGGUCAUGACGAGGAAAGGAGACUCUCUGCUUGCAGGUUUCGAGUUAACUCGAGUUAAUCACUAGUGUUGACUAUAUUCAUUCCCUCCCACUUUAUCACAUCUCUGUAUCUUAACUCUAUCUGCUAUUAUAAGCACUAUGCCGGCUGUGUGUCUGCCUUUGAGCACAGGUAAGAACUC